rnacentral:rRNA from 1 species
GAUGAACGCUGGCGGCGUGCCUAAUACAUGCAAGUCGAGCGAACGGACGAGAAGCUUGCUUCUCUGAUGUUAGCGGCGGACGGGUGAGUAACACGUGGAUAACCUACCUAUAAGACUGGGAUAACUUCGGGAAACCGUAGCUAAUACCGGAUAAUAUUUUGAACCGCAUGGUUCAAAAGUGAAAGACGGUCUUUCUGUCACUUAUAGAUGGAUCCGCGCUGCAUUAGCUAGUUGGUAAGGUAACGGCUUACCAAGGCAACGAUGCAUAGCCGACCUGAGAGGGUGAUCGGCCACACUGGAACUGAGACACGGUCCAGACUCCUAAGGGAGGCAGCAGUAGGGAAUCUUCCGCAAUGGGCGAAAGCCUGACGGAGCAACGCCGCGUGAGUGAUGAAGGUCUUCGGAUCGUAAAGCUCUGUUAUUAGGGAAGAACAUAUGUGUAAGUAACUGUGCACAUCUUGACGGUACCUAAUCAGAAAGCCACGGCUAACUACGUG